GUGAGGAAUAUUGGUCAAUGGGCGGGAGCCUGAACCAGCCAAGUCGCGUGAAGGAAGAAGGAUCUAUGGUUCGUAAACUUCUUUUGCAGGGGAAUAAAGUGCGGGACGUGUCUUGUUUUGUAUGUACCCUGAGAAUAAGGAUCGGCUAACUCCGUGCCAGCAGCCGCGGUAAUACGGAGGAUCCGAGCGUUAUCCGGAUUUAUUGGGUUUAAAGGGUGCGUAGGUGGUUUGAUAAGUCAGCGGUGAAAGUUUGCAGCUUAACUGUAAAAAUGCCGUUGAAACUGUCGGACUUGAGUGUAAAUGAGGUAGGCGGAAUGCGUGGUGUAGCGGUGAAAUGCAUAGAUAUCACGCAGAACUCCGAUUGCGAAGGCAGCUUACUAAGCUACAACUGACACUGAAGCACGAAAGCGUGGGGAUCAAACAGGAUUAGAAACCCUUGUAGUCC
rnacentral:rRNA from 1 species